AUUGAACGCUGGCGGCAUGCUUUACACAUGCGAGUCGAACGGCAGCGCGGGCUUCGGCCUGGCGGCGAGUGGCGAACGGGUGAGUAAUGCAUCGGAACGUGCCCAGUAGUGGGGGAUAGCCCGGCGAAAGCCGGAUUAAUACCGCAUACGACCUGAGGGUGAAAGCGGGGGACCGAAAGGCCUCGCGCUAUUGGAGCGGCCGAUGUCGGAUUAGCUAGUUGGUGGGGUAAAGGCUUACCAAGGCGACGAUCCGUAGCUGGUCUGAGAGGACGACCAGCCACACUGGGACUGAGACACGGCCCAGACUCCUACGGGAGGCAGCAGUGGGGAAUUUUGGACAAUGGGGGCAACCCUGAUCCAGCCACGCCGCGUGCGGGAAGAAGGCCUUCGGGUUGUAAACCGCUUUUGUUCGGGAAGAAAUCCUCUGGGCUAAUACCCCGAGGGGAUGACGGUACCGGAAGAAUAAGCACCGGCUAACUACGUG
rnacentral:rRNA from 1 species